AACUUCUGAAUGUUGACCUCGGAUCAGGUAGGAAUACCCGCUGAACUUAAGCAUAUCAAUAAGCGGAGGAAAAGAAACCAACAGGGAUUGCCCUAGUAACGGCGAGUGAAGCGGCAACAGCUCAAAUUUGAAAUCUGGCUCUCGGGCCCGAGUUGUAAUUUGUAGAGGAUGCUUUUGAUGCGGUGCCUUCCGAGUUCCCUGGAACGGGACGCCAUAGAGGGUGAGAGCCCCGUCUGGUUGGAUGCCAAAUCUCUGUAAAGCUCCUUCGACGAGUCGAGUAGUUUGGGAAUGCUGCUCUAAAUGGGAGGUAUAUGUCUUCUAAAGCUAAAUACCGGCCAGAGACCGAUAGCGCACAAGUAGAGUGAUCGAAAGAUGAAAAGCACUUUGAAAAGAGAGUUAAAAAGUACGUGAAAUUGUUGAAAGGGAAGCGUUUAUGACCAGACUUGGGCUUGGUUAAUCAUCUGGGGUUCUCCCCAGUGCACUUUUCCAGUCCAGGCCAGCAUCAGUUUUCGCCGGGGGAUAAAGGCUUCGGGAAUGUGGCUCUCUCCGGAGAGUGUUAUAGCCCGUUGCGUAAUACCCUGGCGGGGACUGAGGUUCGCGC
rnacentral:rRNA from 2 species